UACGUAGGGUGCGAGCGUUGUCCGGAAUUAUUGGGCGUAAAGGGCUCGUAGGCGGUUUGUCGCGUCGGGAGUGAAAACCCAGGGCUUAACUCUGGGCUUGCUUUCGAUACGGGCAGACUAGAGGUAUGCAGGGGAGAACGGAAUUCCUGGUGUAGCGGUGAAAUGCGCAGAUAUCAGGAAGAACACCCGUGGCGAAGGCGGCUCUCUGGGACGGUACUGACGCUGAGGAGCGAAAGCGUGGGGAGCGAACAGG
rnacentral:rRNA from 1 species